GACGAACCGUACGAACGUUAUUCGGAAUCAUUGGGCUUAAAGGGUGCGUAGGCGGUGCGGAAAGUUGGGUGUGAAAUCCCUCGGCUCAACCGAGGAAUUGCGCGCAAUACUACCGUGCUCGAGGGAGACAGAGGUAAGCGGAACUUAGGGUGGAGCGGUGAAAUGCGUUGAUAUCCUAAGGAACACCAGUGGCGAAAGCGGCUUACUGGGUCUCUUCUGACGCGGAGGCACGAAAGCUAGGGGAGCAAACGGG
rnacentral:rRNA from 1 species